GGGGUGACAAUUCAAGAUAAAUCCGGAUUUUAGACUUAAUCACCAAACAAACAGCUUUUCCCUGAGUUUGAUGCGAAAUCCGAUUAAUCCGAUGAUUAAUCAGUACAAAUCGGGCUGAAUGGUUCAUAUCUUCUUUAUCGGAGGAAUAUCCAUCCACAUCUUUAAUCAUAGAACUGACGUAUUCUGUCAUUAUGACAACUAGUAACACUGCCACGUAAGAGUGUGUUGUGCAUACACGGGUUGGAAUUUUGAAAACAACAUUCCAAACUUUUGUUGCAUUUGUGUAUUUAAUAUAAGGAUAAACUUUAUUUGAGACUUAGUUACUUAGUAAUCCUCGCCAAUUACCAUGACAGCUAAAGACGUAGUCAUAAAUAUUUCAUAAAUAUAUUCAGGCCUGCAACCAGAGACUGAAAACUGUGUUAUGUUCAAAAUUUAACAUGCAGCCAGCUUGUACCCUAUUGCUUGAGGAAGCCAUCGAAUUGAGAAUGAUUGGAGCUCGAAACAACAUAAACCAAAAAGUAUCAGCAUCACCAUAUCUUACAGGAUCGGAACAGAAAGCAAGGCAGUACCGUUCUGCGGGGUGUCAUUGGGCCAAAGUGGAGUGACAUUGGACUAUUUCAUACGUUUACCCCCAAACGACGGUACCUAGAGUGAUGUUCACCAGAAAAAGGCUGGUCUUAUUAUUGCUGAUUGUCAGCUUAUCCAAAAAGAUAUUUGAUGUACUUGUCGUACUUUAGUGUGCGAAGGGGAAUCAAAAGGAAUGAACAUAGGGUCUAGGACCAGCUGGGCAGGUGCACCUAUUUUGGGCACUUGUUGCUAUAACUCGGUUAAUUUCAAACCGAUUGACAACCGUGUUUCAACAAUCAAGUCAAUCGGUUUAAAAUUGACUGAGUUAUAGCAGCAAGCACCCAAAAUAGAUGCACCUGUCCAAAUAGUCCCAGGCCCUACAUCAAAUCCUGUGAAACUAUGAUCAAAACGAGCAUCAAGGUGCAUCAAUGAAAUUGUAAAACAUAUCUCUAAUGUGGCAAUAUGUGAUCACAAUGACACAAUCUGGGCGCAAUAAAGUCGAGUAUUUGAAAAUAGAAACAUUGGGUAUUCUGUGAAUUGAGAAAAACAGGAAAAGGAAAUGAUUCUAAAAAUGA